rnacentral:pre_miRNA from 1 species
AACAUACUCCCUCCGUCUGGAAUUACUUGUCGCCGAAAUGAAUAAAAAUGGAUGUAUCUAGAACUAAAAUACGUCAAGAUACAUCCAUUUAUUUGACAAGUAUUUCUGACGGAGGGAGUACUUU